rnacentral:rRNA from 1 species
CCUACGGGUGGCUGCAGUGAGGAAUAUUGGUCAAUGGGCGCGAGCCUGAACCAGCCAAGUCGCGUGAGGGAAGACGGCCCUACGGGUUGUAAACCUCUUUUGCCGGGGAGCAACGGUCGCCACGUGUGGCGCCACUGAGAGUACCCGGAGACAUAGCAUCGGCUAACUCCGUGCCUGCAGCCGCGGUAAUACGGAGGAUGCGAGCGUUAUCGGGCUUUAUUGGGUUUAAGGGUUGCGUAGUCGGAUCGUUACGUAAGUGUUAAAUUUGAGGGCCUAAACCCCUUCCCGCCAUUGAAACUGGCGCUCUUGAGUGGAAGAGAGGUAUGCGGAAUGCGUGGUGUAGCGGUGAAAUGCAUAGAUAUCACGCAGAACCCCGAUUGCGAAGGCAGCAUGCCGGCUUCCUACUGACGCUGAAGCACGAAAGCGUGGGGAUCGAACAGGAUUAGAUACCCCUGUAGUC